GACGAGGGGUGCGAGCGUUAUUCGGAAUUAUUGGGCGUAAAGGGUGUGUAGACGGUAUGCUAAGUCUGUUGUUAAAUCUCCCGGCUUAACCGGGAAUCAGCAGUGGAUACUGGUGUACUAGAGGGUGGAAGAGAGAAGUGGAAUUCUCGGAGUAGCGGUAAAAUGCGUAGAUCUCGAGAGGAACACCAAUGGCGAAGGCAGCUUCUUGGUCCAUUUCUGACGUUGAAACACGAAAGCGUGGGGAGCAAACAGG
rnacentral:rRNA from 1 species